rnacentral:lncRNA from 1 species
GGGAGGGCAAUGUCUGAACAUUAUGUAGGUGGGACUCUGGAAGUGGUUCAGAGGAAGUUGAGUUUUCGGGAGGCAAUGGAGGAGCCAAAAUAUUAGGAGCAGAAGAUAGAUUGGUUGGAGAAGGAUGAGUUGGGCCCGACUCACUUUGUGAGUUUGAAAAAGUAGAAGAGUCUGGAUGAGAUGGAGGAGGAGAAUUCAACAUAUAUUGAAAAUCAAGAGAUGAGGAUAAAGCCAAAUUUGAGGGAAGAGGAAAUUGGGAGGGUGCUGGCAGAUGGGAAGAGAAAGAGGAUAUAGGAGAAAGGAAAGAAUUUGUCAUCAAAAAGAACAUGCCGCGAGAUGAAGAUUUU